GCCUGGGUGGCUCGGUUGGUUGAGUGUCCGACUUUGGCUCAGGUCAUGGUCUCACGGUUUGUGGGUUCGAGCCCCACGUCGGGCU
rnacentral:tRNA from 1 species